AGAGAGAAAUACGAUGAUUUAAAGUUACCGGCGGUCUCGGAUUCGCUUGGUGCAGGUCGGGAACUGAUUAGCUGACAAUUACACGUGUGUUGUCAUGGUUGGUUUGUGAGAUCCCGUCUUGUAUCAACUGAAUCGGAGUCCGAGGUGAAAAAAAUAAGGAUCUUACUUUCAGAUCU
rnacentral:pre_miRNA from 1 species